rnacentral:rRNA from 1 species
CUUGUUCAAUUAUAGGAGGUCCAGCCUGCCCAGUGACUUUGUUCAACGGCCGCGGUAUCCUAACCGUGCGAAGGUAGCGUAAUCACUUGUUCUUUAAAUGAGGACUAGUAUGAAUGGCCCCACGAGGGCUGCACUGUCUCCUUUUUCUAAUCAAUGAAACUAAUCUCCCCGUGAAGAAGCGGGAAUAAUCCUAUAAGACGAGAAGACCCUAUGGAGCUUUAAACAACUGAAACAUUUGCUUUUCUCCUAAUUCCUCCCGAGCUCUUUAUUUUUACUUAAGCAUUAUUAUUUCUAGUUUUAGGUUGGGGUGACCACGGAGCAAAACUAAACCUCCAUGAAGAAAUGAAUAUUUUUAAGCCACAAACUACUUUUUUAAGCAUCAACAAAUUGACCUUCAUUGACCCAAUAUAUUGAUCAACGAAC